AUUGAACGCUGGCGGCAUGCCUUACACAUGCAAGUCGAACGGCAGCACGGGAGCAAUCCUGGUGGCGAGUGGCGAACGGGUGAGUAAUAUAUCGGAACGUGCCCGGUCGUGGGGGAUAACGUAGCGAAAGCUACGCUAAUACCGCAUACGAUCUACGGAUGAAAGCGGGGGAUCGCAAGACCUCGCGCGAUUGGAGCGGCCGAUAUCAGAUUAGGUAGUUGGUGAGGUAAAGGCUCACCAAGCCGACGAUCUGUAGCUGGUCUGAGAGGACGACCAGCCACACUGGGACUGAGACACGGCCCAGACUCCUACGGGAGGCAGCAGUGGGGAAUUUUGGACAAUGGGCGCAAGCCUGAUCCAGCAAUGCCGCGUGCAGGAUGAAGGCCUUCGGUUGUAACGUA
rnacentral:rRNA from 1 species